rnacentral:rRNA from 1 species
UGAGAGUGGCGAACGGGUGAGUAAUAUAUCGGAACGUGCCCAGUCGUGGGGGAUAACGUAGAGAAAUUUACGCUAAUACCGCAUACGAUCUACGGAUGAAAGCGGGGGAUUCGCAAGAACCUCGCGCGAUUGGAGCGGCUGAUAUCAGAUUAGGUUGUUGGUGAGGUAAAAGCUCACCAAGCCGACGAUCUGUAGCUGGUUUGAGAGAACGACCAGCCACACUGGGACUGAGACACGGCCCAGACUCCUACGGGAGGCAGCAGUGGGGAAUUUUGGACAAUGGGCGAAAGCCUGAUCCAGCAAUGCCGCGUGUGGGAAGAAGGCCUUCGGGUUGUAAACCACUUUUGUACGGAACGAAACGGUUCGCUUUAAUACAGUGGGCUAAUGACGGUACCGUAAGAAUAAGCACCGGCUAACUACGUGCCAGCAGCCGCGGUAAUACGUAGGGUGCGAGCGUUAAUCGGAAUUACUGGGCGUAAAGCGUGCGCAGGCGGUUAUAUAAGACAGUUGUGAAAUCCCCGGGCUCAACCUGGGAAUUGCAUUUGUGA